GGGGAUGUAAGGUCAGUGGUAGGGCACUUGUCUAGCAUGCAAGAGCACACAGCCUUGGGUUCUAUCCCCAGCAUGCAUU
rnacentral:tRNA from 1 species